GAUGAACGCUGGCGGCGUGCCUAAUACAUGCAAGUCGAGCGAACAGACGAGGAGCUUGCUCCUCUGACGUUAGCGGCGGACGGGUGAGUAACACGUGGAUAACCUACCUAUAAGACUGGGAUAACUUCGGGAAACCGGAGCUAAUACCGGAUAAUAUAUUGAACCGCAUGGUUCAAUAGUGAAAGACGGUUUUGCUGUCACUUAUAGAUGGAUCCGCGCCGCAUUAGCUAGUUGGUAAGGUAACGGCUUACCAAGGCAACGAUGCGUAGCCGACCUGAGAGGGUGAUCGGCCACACUGGAACUGAGACACGGUCCAGAGUCCUACGAGAGGCAGCAGUAGGGAAUCUUCGGCAAUGGGCGAAAGCUUGACGGAGCAACGCCGCGUGAGUGAUGAAGGUCUUCGGAUCGUAAAACUCUGUUAUUAGGGAAGAACAAAUGUGUAAGUAACUAUGCACGUCUUGACGGUACCUAAUCAGAAAGCCACGGCUAACUACGUG
rnacentral:rRNA from 1 species